UGAGUCACCAAGACACUGAGUCACCAAGACACUGAGUCACCAAGACACUGAGUCAAUAAGUAUGAAGGGAAGAAUGUAUACUAAAAGGGUAACAUGUUACAGUGAGUAAUAUCAUUCAAGGGAAUAUCAAAUAACAAUGACGAGACAUAAACAUUUAUAUAGAGCGCUAGAAAGUGUGUACAUACAUGUGUCGUGUGUACUUUGUCUUUAGAAAUAAACAGUUCCAAUAGACCUCAUUUACCAAUCGUAAACAAACAACAUUUAGCCACCUGGUUCUCUAUCUCCUUAUACAAAUUACGUAAUACACACAGGCUGUCACGUGACAGUUUUUUUAUUUCAUUGUUUUAUCAGUAUUAUCACGUGGUUAAAUGUUGUUUGUUUACGAUAGGUGAAUGAGGUCCAUUGCGUUGAGCAAAAAUAAGAAAUGAAUUUUUUUAAAAUAGAUUAUUUUGGUCUCUUGUCAUGUCUUCC